ensembl:lncRNA
GUUAAGCUUGUUUUGCUGUUAAUAUGAUGUACGUUAUCUCAGAAAUAAUUGGACAAGGAAGUAAUGUGGAAAAAAAUAAGCAAAGCAAAGUUUUAUUUUGUGUUUACUUGAAUUUGUUUUAUCUGUACAUUCAUCUCAAGGCUGCCCAUAGGCAUAAUGUAGAAGCUCCACUGACUGAAUUCACUGCUCCUGCCAAUAUUGUCAUUCCAAUUCAGGUAGAGAGGGAAGGCACAGAGCUCAGGCAGGGAGAGGAAUAUCCAGAGGAUAAUGCAGCACAUCCUAGAGGGGACUGACAACAGGGAAGCGUGUGGAGCACCACGGAUCAACCUCCGCAGCAUGACAUGGAAAGGGAACCGGACGAACAAGAGGAGGUUGGGGAGGAGGGAAAGGAGCAGGAGGCCCGGGGUGAAGUAGCCGAAGAACCCUACUCACCUGGGGAAGGUCCAGAGAACCUUCCAAACCCUGACAGAUCACUGUCGAGUGCCUCAAGAGAGACCAGAGAGCCUGGGGAGCCCUGGCUCUACCCCGUCUGACCAGAAGGAGGAAGCUGGGAAUGCUCUACUGGAGCCCCAGCCAGAAGAGAGAGCUCAGGGGAGACCACUGUGGGGGCACCCCAAGUAGAGGGGCCAACAGAGCGGAGGGCCAAAGCCCCGGAAUCAAGACAUCACCAGCGAGGAGCCCCUUGUUGCGGACACGGAGCCAGAGCAUCCGGAGUAGAAAGGGGAACGAAACACAGGAGCUUAUCCACAUUGUUAUCAGACCCAUGAACCUAUCAGUCACUUUUACAGUUCCAACUAAGAUUAAGAAGCAGUAAGCAUAAUUAUAAAGCUUCCGUUCUUGUCAGAAUGAAUAAAAACAUG